GUUUAGUGGCGGACGGGUGAGUAACGCGUGAGUAACCUGCCUUUCAGAGGGGGAUAACGUUCUGAAAAGAACGCUAAUACCGCAUAACAUCAAUUUAUCGCAUGAUAGGUUGAUCAAAGGAGCAAUCCGCUGGAAGAUGGACUCGCGUCCGAUUAGCCAGUUGGCGGGGUAACGGCCCACCAAACCUUCGAUGGAUAGGGGUUCUGAGAGGAAGGUCCCCCACAUUGGAACUGAGACACGGUCCAAACUCCUACGGGAGGCAGCAUG
rnacentral:rRNA from 1 species